rnacentral:rRNA from 1 species
UACGUAGGGGGCUAGCGUUGUCCGGAAUCAUUGGGCGUAAAGAGCGUGUAGGCGGCCCGGUAAGUCCGCUGUGAAAGUCAAAGGCUCAACCUUUGAAAGCCGGUGGAUACUGUGAGGCUAGAGUACGGAAGAGGCGAGUGGAAUUCCUGGUGUAGCGGUGGAAUGCGCAGAUAUCAGGAGGAACACCAAUAGCGAAGGCAGCUCGCUGGGACGUUACUGACACUGAGGCGCGAAGGCCAGGGGAGCAAACGGG